rnacentral:rRNA from 1 species
UACGUAGGGUGCAAGCGUUGUCCGGAAUUAUUGGGCGUAAAGAGCUCGUAGGCGGUUUGUCGCGUCUGCUGUGAAAACUCGGGGCUUAACCCCGGGCCUGCAGUGGGUACGGGCAGACUAGAGUGCGGUAGGGGAGACUGGAAUUCCUGGUGUAGCGGUGAAGUGCGCAGAUAUCGGGAGGAACACCGGUGGCGAAGGCGGUUCUCUGGGCCUGACCUGACGCUGAGGAGCGAAAGCGUGGGGAGCAAACAGG